GGUGGAGUAAUAUUCGAAAUUGAUUACGGUGAGUGCGUAGUCAAGUUUCGAGGACGAAAUUUCCUUUAAGGGGGGGAUGAUGUAAGAGCUGAGAUUUUUUGCUGUACAGAUAAACUCUGUGUUGAUGAAGUUUUUGUGUGUAAUUUAAUUAUAUAAACAUUCGUCAAGUUUCUGGAGAAAAUGAGUAAGGAUGGAGAAGUUACGCGAUCUUUAGUUUUCACUUAAGUAAAUAGUAA
rnacentral:lncRNA from 1 species